AGCUUGUUGAUGAUGUUUCUCAUUAAAAAAGUCUGAACAUGUGGACUCCAUAGUGAUUUCAGUGCAUUACUGAGAGAAGCU
rfam:Charadrius vociferus contig53012, whole genome shotgun sequence.